rnacentral:rRNA from 1 species
UACAGAGGGUGCAAGCGUUGUUCGGAAUUAUUGGGCGUAAAGCGCGUGUAGGCGGCCGUGCAAGUCGCGUGUGAAAGCCCCCGGCUCAACUGGGGAGGGUCACGCGAUACUGAUCGACUCGAAGGCAGGAGAGGGAAGUGGAAUUCCCGGUGUAGUGGUGAAAUGCGUAGAUAUCGGGAGGAACACCUGUGGCGAAGGCGGCCCCCUGGGCCGGCCCUGACACUGAGACGCGAAGGCGUGGGGAGCGAACGGG